ensembl:lncRNA
CUUCAGCAGUCUAAUGACUUGGGGGUAGAAGCUGUUCAGCAGUCUAAUGACUUGGGGGUAGAAGCUGUUCAGCAGUCUAAUGACUUGGGGGUAGAAGCUGUUCAGCAGUCUAAUGACUUGGGGGUAGAAGCUGUUCAGCAGUAUAAUGACUUGGGGGUAGAAGCUGUUCAGCAGUCUAAUGACUUGGGGGUAGAAGCUGUUCAGCAGUCGUAUGGCUUGGGGGUAGAAGCUGUUCAGCAGUCUAAUGACCAGGAUCCUGGUGUCUACCCAAUGUGCUGAGCACUCCUCCUGGCCAGAGUCCGCGCUACAUUCAGCUGCUGCAACCAUGGUCUCUGUGUGAAGGCACUGUUAGAGUCAAUCAACCAGAACAAGGUUAGGAGACCAAAUAUGUGUCCUAGCAUUGGAAAUACUGUAUAUGUAAUGGCCUCAAUACAUUAAUGUAGUGCCCUUACAUCCUAUCCUCUCCCCAUACUGAAACAACUUGUUAGGGUGAACCAAUAAGACUGACACUAUAUACCUUCUAAGCAUGAUAGUUGGCUCAUGAUUUGUUUCAGGACUUGUUAGGGUAAACCAAUAACAGCUUCUAACCCCAAGUCAUAAGACUGCUGAACAAUUAAUCAAAUGGCCACCGGACAAGUUCAACUGUUUUAUUAUUUGUUACUUUAGUUUAUUGGGUAAAUAUUCUCUUCAACUCUUCUUGAACUGCACUGUUUGUUAAGGGCUUGUAAGUAAAGUAUUUCACGGAAAGAUCUACACUUGUUGUAUUCAGCGCAUGUGACAAAUUAAAGUUUGAGUUGAGUUGAUUUGACUAUAUACCUUCUAAGCAUGAUGGUUGGCUCAUGAUUUGUUUGUACUGAAAUCUAUUCAGGGAGGAUAAGGGUAUAUCAUAGGCAGUGAUGAAGUGGUAAAACCAUUGACUGGUAAAUGCUGAUUGCCAUUCAGGAUUAAAGAAGUAACGCUCCCUCUACUUUAAAUGCAUCUUCCACAAAAGGUGGGUAAAUGCUUGAACAAAAUAAAAUAAAAAGUGUGUAAACAGCUUUUACAUGUGUCCCCCCCACCACUGAUUAUAGGAGGCUUCUUCUGACAGUAUUCACACCUUUCAUAAGAAACCUCCAGAGAAAUAUUCAUAUUCACCGUAGCUGUCAUUUAAACUUGGACUAACCUGGCCAAGGCCAAACAGUAUAUGGCGUUUUAUCUGGGUGUGCGAUCGCAGUGGAGAGAAAAGGCCUCCAGUGAGGUGGGUGUAGCUUCGGUAGUUGAAGAGGUUUAUCCUGGGAUGCCAGGGCGCGGAGCGGGCAGGAUACAUGAGAUGGGCAGUUGAUGGGGGUCAAACGUCGAGAGGCUGUGGACAUCACCCUGAUACCCGCCUUGGCCUCACUCCUCCUGGGCUUGGAGGACAUCUUGGGGAGGGUGAAGCCGUCCACCAGGACCGUGUCGCCCACCCUGGUCCUGAACGGAGCCCUGUUGAGGCCCAUGCAGUGCCUGGAUGUGGCCCCCAGACCCAGCCCUUUAUCUGGAGGUAUGUCCGCAUGGGCAGGGCCAUACCUG